UUAGUGGCGGACGGGUGAGUAACACGUGAGUAACCUGCCUUUGAGAGGGGGAUAACAUUGAGAAAUCAGUGCUAAUACCGCAUAAUGCAAUUCAUUCGCAUGAAAGAAUUGCCAAAAGAGAAAUCUGCUCAAAGAUGGACUCGCGGCUGAUUAGUUAGUUGGUGGGGUAACGGCCUACCAAGACGAUGAUCAGUAGCCGAGCUGAGAGGCUCAACGGCCACAUUGGGACUGAGACACGGCCCAGACUCCUACGGGAGGCAGCAGUCGGGAAUAUUGCACAAUGGAGGAAACUCUGAUGCAGUGACGCCGCGUACAGGAAGAAGGUCUUUGGAUUGUAAACUGUUGUCGAAAGGGAAGAAAAAAGACAGUACCUUUGGAGGAAGCUCCGGCAAACUACGUGCCAGCAGCCGCGGUAAUACGUAGGGAGCGAGCGUUAUCCGGAUUUAUUGGGUGUAAAGGGCGCGUAGACGGUAUAACAAGUUGGUUGUGAAAUCCCGAGGCUCAACUUCGGAACUGCAACCAAAACUGUUUAACUUGAGUAUGGGAGAGGAAAGCGGAAUUCCUAGUGUAGCGGUGAAAUGCGUAGAUAUUAGGAGGAACACCAGUGGCGAAGGCGGCUUUCUGGACCAUAACUGACGUUGAGGCGCGAAAGUGUGGGGAGCAAACAGGAUUAGAUACCCUGGUAGUCCACACCGUAAACGAUGGAUACUAGGUGUAGGAUGGAUUAAACCGUUCUGUGCCGGCGCUAACGCAAUAAGUAUCCCACCUGAGUAGUACGACCGCAAGGUUGAAACUCAAAGGAAUUGACGGGGGCCCGCAC
rnacentral:rRNA from 1 species